CCUACGGGUGGCAGCAGUGAGGAAUAUUGGUCAAUGGGCGGGAGCCUGAACCAGCCAAGCCGCGUGAGGGAAGAAGGUACAGCGUAUCGUAAACCUCUUUUGUCAGGGAACAAAGGCGGGGACUAGUCCCCGGAUGAGGGUACCUGAAGAAAAAGCCUCGGCUAACUCCGUGCCAGCAGCCGCGGUAAUACGGGGGAGGCGACGGUUAUCCGGAUUUAUUGGGUUUAAACGGUGCGGCGGCGGCCUGGUAAGUCAGCGGGAAAAGCCCGGGGCUCAACCCCGGGGAGCCGUUGAAACGGGCGGGCUGGAGUGGGAGAGAAGUACGCGGAAUGCGUGGUGUAGCGGUGAAAUGCUUAGAUAUCGCGCAGAACCCCGAUUGCGAAGGCAGCGUACCGGCUCCACACUGACGCUGAGGCACGAAAGCGUGGGUAUCGAACAGGAUUAGAUACCCCAGUAGUC
rnacentral:rRNA from 1 species